CACAAAUCACAGCACUUUAAUCAUUUUGCCUUGUUUGUUCGGACAUUAGGAAGGAAAUAUAGUAUGAAGAAAGCAAUCUGUUAUGCUCAAUUUCGUGUCAUUUCGGUUUUCAUACAGAAUAUUUCCCCGUUCCCUCACAGUUCAAUUUGUAACAAAGCAACCCAGCAGUAAAUUCUCAUAGACUUACGAAAAUUUCAAUACUUUCUGUCUCUACAUUAACACUUAAUGCUAAAGAAUACCUCACGCGUUCUGCAUUCUGUAGAAUUCUACUUUUCACCUCGAACUUUAUCACAGAUCGUUAUGCAGAUCGUGCGUUACAUUACGUUAUUAGUUUAGUGCUUCGUAUAAUAUAUUUUA